UAUAUCAAUGAUGAUAAAUGAUAUCCCAGCUCAUUAUGAGGCCUUUGUUAGUCGAAGGUCAGGGAAUAGACUCUUUCCAACAUUUAUCUGAGCAACAUC